rnacentral:rRNA from 1 species
AGGAUAAACGCUGGCGGCGUGCCUAACACAUGCAAGUCGAACGUCCUUGCGGUCUUCUUCUUCGGAGGAGGACCGCGAGGGAGUGGCGGACGGGUGAGUAACACAUGGGUACCUGCCUUUCAGUGAGGAAUACCGGCGAGAAAUCGCCGACAAGACCGCAUAGGCUUCCUUCGGUAGCCCGAGGGAAGCAAAGUUACUUCGCGAGAGGUGACGCUGGAAGAGGGGCCUGUGGCCGAUUAGCUAGUUGGGGGGUAACGGCCUCCCAAGGCGACGAUCGGUAGCUGGUCUGAGAGGACGAUCAGCCACACUGGGAUUGAGAACGGCCCAGACUCCUACGGGGGGCAGCAGUGAGGAAUUUCCGCAAUGGACGAAAGUCUGACGGAGCAACGCCGCGUGCAGGAGGAAGGUUUCGGAUCGUAAACUGCUUUCUCGGGGACGAGCAAGGACGGUACCCGAGGAAGAAGCCCCGGCUAACUACGUGCCAGCAGCCGC